rnacentral:tRNA from 2 species
GUUUAAAUUUUUUUAAGUUUUUGAAACUUUUUAAUUUUUUUUCAAAAA